rnacentral:rRNA from 1 species
AAAGUUUACUUUCUUUGUUUUAAAAACAAAAAUUAAUUUUUUAAUUAAAAAGUUAAGAUUUUAUUAGAGGACGAGAAGACCCUAUAGAACUUUAUUUUUAAAAUAAUAAUUAUUUAUUUGUAAAUAAUAAUUAUUUAUUUUUUUUAAAAAUUUUGUUGGGGUGACAAAAAAAAUUUUAUAACUUUUUUUAAUUUAUUCAUUUAUAUAUGAAUUUUUGAUCCUUUAUUAAGGAUAACAAGAUUAAGUUACCUUAGGGAUAACAGCGUUAUUAUUUUAGAGAGUUCAUAUCGAUAAAAUAGUUUGCGACCUCGAUGUUGGAUUAAAAUUAGUUUCAGGAGUAGAAGAUUGAUUACUAGGUC